GUGCCAGCCGCCGCGGUAAUACGUAGGGUGCAAGCGUUGUCCGGAAUUACUGGGCGUAAAGAGCUCGUAGCUGCUUUGUCACGUCGUCUGUGAAAUUCACAGCUUAACUGUGGGCGUGCAGGCGAUACGGGCUGACUUGAGUACUGUAGGGGUAACUGGAAUUCCUGGUGUAGCGGUGAAAUGCGCAGAUAUCAGGAGGAACACCGAUGGCGAAGGCAGGUUACUGGGCAGUUACUGACGCUGAGGAGCGAAAGCAUGGGUAGCAAACAGGAUUAG
rnacentral:rRNA from 1 species